rnacentral:rRNA from 1 species
UACGAAGGGGGCUAGCGUUGCUCGGAAUCACUGGGCGUAAAGCGCACGUAGGCGGCUUCUUAAGUCAGGGGUGAAAUCCUGGAGCUCAACUCCAGAACUGCCUUUGAUACUGAGGAGCUCGAGUCCGGGAGAGGUGAGUGGAACUCCGAGUGUAGAGGUGAAAUUCGUAGAUAUUCGGAAGAACACCAGUGGCGAAGGCGACACACUGGGCCAUUACUGACGCUGAGGCGCGAAAGCGUGGGGAGCAAACAGG